ACUAGUGGAACUACCCUUUGGUAAUUUCUAAUUUAUGUAUUAUUAUCCUUUUAGUAAUUCUCUAGUAUUUUGGAUGUCUAUAACUUUAUUAUUUCGAAUUGCUGCUUUUAUUUUGUUCUUUUGUUGUUGAUAUCAAUCUUAAAAGUAGUCUUUAGUUGUUGAAUACUGUUUUUAAAUCAUGAUAAAUAUCACAUCAAUCAUUGCAACUAAAAGAGGUUGCUGAAUCAGGUGACAUUUAAAGGAUGUAAAGAGUUUAUGUAAGUUCUUUAUAUAUUUGCAGGCUUUUCUCUUCAAUGACUAUUGGGAGGAUAUAGGGACAAUCAGGUCACUCUUUGAGACAAAUUUAGCUCUCACCGAACAUCCAUAUAGGUUUUGCUUUUACGAAGCAGGAAAACCAAUGUAUACAUCAAGGAGAAACUUACCACCAUCGAAUAUUGACAAUAGCAAGAUUGUUAACUCAAUAAUAUCGCAUGGUUGAAUUCCAUGGAAGGAUAGAGUGAAAAAUAGAAUCCUAGGAUUGGACUUAUUUUUAUUUAAAGCAAAUAUUUUUUUAAAUUUGACUAUGUAAUUUUUAGCAAGAGAUUUACUAUGUUGAUAUUUUUAUAAAAAUAUUAUUUUGUUUUCCAGUUAAUUUUGUUGUUUUUGCCAC